CAACGGAUCUCUUGGCUCUCGCAUCGAUGAAGAACGCAGCGAAUUGCGAUAAGUAAUGUGAAUUGCAGAUUUUCAGUGAAUCAUCGAAUCUUUGAACGCACCUUGCGCUCCUUGGUAUUCCGAGGAGCAUGCCUGUUUGAGUGUCAUGU
rnacentral:rRNA from 1 species